CAGCAGCCGCGGUAAUUCCAGCUCCAAUAGCGUAUAUUAAAGUUGUUGCAGUUAAAAAGCCCGUAGUUGAAUUUCGGGAUCAAUACGUCGGUCGUGCUUCGGUACGUACUGGCGUAAUUGAUUUCUCCCUUCUGACGAACCAUGAUGUCAUUAACUUGGUGUCAUGGGAAAUCAGGACUGUUACUUUGAAAAAAUUAGAGUGUUUAAAGCAGGCUCACGCUUGAAUACAUUAGCAUGGAAUAAUGAAAUAGGACGUUCGAUCCUAUUUUGUUGGUUUUUAGGAUCAACGUAAUGAUUAAUAGGGAUAGUUGGGGGCAUUAGUAUUCAAUUGUCAGAGGUGAAAUUCUUGGAUUUAUUGAAGACUAACUACUGCGAAAGCAUUUGCCAAGGAUGUUUUCAUUAAUCAAGAACGAAAGUUAGGGGAUCGAAGACGAUCAGAUACCGUCGUAGUCUUAACCAUAAACUAUGCCGACUAGGGAUCGGAUGAUGUUAAUUUUUUAAUGACUCAUUCGGCGCCUUACG
rnacentral:rRNA from 1 species